rnacentral:misc_RNA from 1 species
AUUUGUCGAUCAUGGAUGGUGAACAUGGAGCUAGCUAGCUACAUGUACAUGUAUAAUUACGUACGUCUGUUGAGUGUGGGUUCGUUCAGCGCAGGUUGUACAUGUAUGCUACAUUCUGAUGGGUGACAGUUGGUGAUGGUCAAGUGGACGAUUCUUUGUCUUACACAAAUGCAGAAACAUGGUUGAAUGUACAGUAGAUGAAUUGGCAACAUGAAGUAUUGUGCCGUUCCAACAUGUAGCAACACCUCUUACCAUUACUACAAAUGGAGGUCAGGUAGAUGCAGUAUCCAUGACUGCAAUUAUGGCACAGGACCUUGCCAAUGCGAUCCACCGCUCAGGUUUUUCCCAUUUCCGACCAAGAGGGACAAACCGGGCCGGGAGCGGUGGACCAAGUUGAUCAAUCGCAAGAACCCCAGCGGGGAGACCUGGCAACCAGACCCUGCUGGAAGGAGCAGCGUUUGCUCCGAACACUUCCCUGAUGGUCAGCCUACAAAACAGAACCCUGAUCCCAUCCUGAAACUGGGCUACGACCCCCCUGCAGACUUGAUACGGCCUCGAUCACCUCCACGGAAAAAGCAGAAAGCGGUGAGUGAAUCUGAACCAGGCAAAAGCUGGUCCGUACCACUCCCCACAACUGAGCCCCAGGUGUUGACAACCUGUCUGCAUUCAUCAAGUCAGCAGCACCAGGUCCCAGGCACAGGCAAAACGAUGACAGCUAUCAUCCCUCAGACCAAACCUCGGCCCCGUCCUCCCAAGAGAAUGUGCAUUGCGUGCCAGAGCAUCUCCGAAAAUGGCCGUCAUAUUUUGAGUAACAAAGGAAGGCUGGACUUGCAGGAAUGUUUGAGGCAGUAUCUCAACCUGGAAGUGGAGCAGGGCUGGAUGUGUUCAAACUGUGUCCGACAAGUCAAGACCAUCGUCAAAAAAGUCAACACUUUCAGAAGUUCUGUACUGGCUGGAGAGUGCAACCGAGUCUUCAAAGUCUCACCAGUAGCGAAGCGGACUGGAGUAGCCCAGAUCAGAUCACAGCCUGACACAAACAGCGAGCAUCCAUCUGGAGAGGCAAUCUGUAAGUGUUCCAGAUUGCUGAAGUCGAUGCUUUCAAAACAAAAUGUCGGCGAACCACUGGAAAAGACCCGAAUCAAGGUCAUCUUUCCCAGACAGACUAAAGCUGACACCCCAGAGUCAGAGACUGAGUCUAGUGAAGAUUUUCAAGAUUCGUCCAGUUCCGAGGAAGAUUUCUGUGAGAAUCCCAGAACCAGAACAAGCAGUGCCCAAUCUGACAAAAACGAAGAGGUACAUGUAUUUCCAGAAACGUCAGGGCCAAAUUCUACACCAGCAUCUUUGUUGCUUGAAACCUGUAAUCAGUCACCUACUGAAAGUGAAAAGCAUCUUCCAAACCAAAAUAAUCAAGAUAGUGAACCACCAGCAAUCUCAAGUGACACUGUGCAUUCCACUAACUCACAGCUGCAAACAAUCCUUCCUAGACAAGAUUCAAGCUCAUCUGAUUCAUCGCCCAUGCCUGUGAGUUCAGCAGGGUCGCUCCAAGAUGCGUCAAUAAUGUUUUGCAUCCAACCCACCACCAGUAGUUCCGGAUCGUCAAUAACUAGCCCUUCCAUACAAAUAGCUGCCUCAGCCUCAGAUGAGUUCAUCUACACAAAAACCCUGAAUGAGCUGGCAAAGUUCAUAGCAAGGAAACCACAUCAGGAGCAUGAUUACGCACAGUGAUGGGGGCAGUGUGACAAAUUUGCUGGAAAUGAAGCUUGGGGACAGUCCAUUUCCGAUGCCUGGAAAACGUAACAGAUAAUCUCCACCCUGAAUUCGUUCAUGUGAUUGGAACACUUUACAGCGCUAGAUGUUUGUGAAUUCAAAAGGUGUCAUUGCAAACUACUGGGGUUUGGCAACCGUAGUCUUUCUGCUGAGCACAGCAAGGGAAUAAUGUUAGAGACCUAGUCGGCAAGGUCCUACUGCCUUUUCACAGAAUCUACUUACAGGAAUAACUUCUGAUAAUUUCUUAUAUUGAUCUACUGUACAUGU